rnacentral:rRNA from 1 species
UGGUGGCGACCGGCGCACGGGUGAGUAACGCGUAUGCAACCCAUCUAUCAGAGGGGAAUAACCCGGCGAAAGUCGGACUAAUACCGCAUAAAACAGGGACACCGCAUGGUGAUAUUUGUUAAAGAAAUUCGCUGAUAGAUGGGCAUGCGUUCCAUUAGGUAGUUGGUGAGGUAACGGCUCACCAAGCCGACGAUGGAUAGGGGAACUGAGAGGUUGGUCCCCCACACUGGUACUGAGACACGGACCAGACUCCUACGGGAGGCAGCAGUGAGGAAUAUUGGUCAAUGGGCGAGAGCCUGAACCAGCCAAGUCGCGUGAAGGAAGAAGGAUCUAUGGUUCGUAAACUUCUUUUGCAGGGGAAUAAAGUGCAGGACGUGUCCUGUUUUGUAUGUACCCUGAGAAUAAGGAUCGGCUAACUCCGUGCCAGCAGCCGCGGUAAUACGGAGGAUCCGAGCGUUAUCCGGAUUUAUUGGGUUUAAAGGGUGCGUAGGUGGUUUGAUAAGUCAGCGGUGAAAGUUUGCAGCUUAACUGUAAAAAUGCCGUUGAAACUGUCGGACUUGAGUGUAAAUGAGGUAGGCGGAAUGCGUGGUGUAGCGGUGAGAUGCUUAGAUAUCACGAAGAACUCCGAUUG